GUGAAUCAUCAAAUUUUUGAACGCGAAUUGCACUCUCUGGUAUUCCGGAGAGUAUGCCUGUUUGAGGGUCAGUUUAAAUAAAAAUCGGUGUAGUUGCUGCCCUUCGUGAUGACUCACCGGAUUUGGGUCGACUUGCCUUCGGUUAAGUGACCUAAAAUUUUACAUGAUUUUUUCGAACGUAUUUAAAUGAUUUUCCGUACAUUUGCGAUAUCUAAUAC
rnacentral:misc_RNA from 1 species